rnacentral:rRNA from 1 species
UACAGAGGGUGCAAGCGUUAAUCGGAAUUACUGGGCGUAAAGGGCGCGUAGGUGGUUUGCUAAGUCAGAUGUGAAAACCCUGGGCUUAACUUAGGAAUUGCAUUUGAAACUGGUAGACUAGAGUUUGGGAGAGGGAAGUGGAAUUUCCGGUGUAGCGGUGAAAUGCGUAGAUAUCGGAAGGAACAUCAGUGGCGAAGGCGACUUCCUGGCCCGAUACUGACACUGAGGCGCGAAAGCGUGGGGAGCGAACAGG